CACCGCAAGGACUGGAGAAGGGGUCUUCCUCUGCCACCCAGGCUGGAGUGUGCAGCAGCAUGACCGUGGCUUACUGCAGCUUCAACCUCUCAGGAUUAGGACUUUACUGAAGACUCUAAGGAGGACCUGUAUCUGUUGGGAUCCUCAGGGCAAGCCACAGAAACAAGCUUUGGAUACUAGAAGCAGAAAAUGGAGAUAUUGAAGACUAUUGUGGAGUUUACUGUGAGCCAGAGAACCAGGCUGGGGGGCUGUAUCACUUAGAAUGAGAUCCAAACUCACACCAUAGUUCCAUCCUUGAGGUUGCCAUGUUGCUGCCACCCCUCCUGCCACCCCACCACUGAAGCUUUGGAUGCUGGAUUCUGGGCACAGCAGGGAGAAGUGUUGCUUAUUACCAUUUUAGUAUGUUUUCUUUCAAGACCUUUUCAAAAUAUACAUACGUAUUUUUAUUUCUAUUCAAAAUGGGAUACAUUUUUGAAGGUUAGCAAUAUAUUGUGAACAUUUUCUUUCCAUGCUCAGAAACAUUUUUCUAUAAUGUAAUUUAUAGUGAUAUAAACUAUCUCAUAGACCUACCAUAGUUUACCUAACAAAUCCCAAAUCAUUUGUGCCAUUUCUAAAUUUUUAUUAUUUUAUGUAAUGCUUUAAUGAACAUCCUUGCAUUUAU
rnacentral:lncRNA from 10 species